UACGGAGGGUGCAAACGUUAAUCGGAAUCACUGGGCGUAAAGCGCACGUAGGCGGUUCGUUAAGUGGGAUGUGAAAGCCCUGGGCUCAACCUGGGAAUUGCGUUCCAAACUGACGGGCUAGAGUACGAUAGAGGGAGGUAGAAUUUCCUGUGUAGCGGUGAAAUGCGUAGAUAUAGGAAGGAAUACCUGUGGCGAAGGCGGCCUCCUGGAUCGAUACUGACGCUGAGGUGCGAAAGCGUGGGGAGCAAACAGG
rnacentral:rRNA from 1 species